CCUACGGGUGGCUGCAGUCGGGAAUUUUGGGCAAUGGGGGCAACCCUGACCCAGCAACGCCGCGUGAGCGAUGAAGGCCUUCGGGUCGUAAAGCUCUGUCGGGAGGGAAGAAGGCUCUCGGGGUGAAUAAUCCCGGGGGAUUGACGGUACCUCCAAAGGAAGCGCCGGCUAACUCCGUGCCAGCAGCCGCGGUAAUACGGAGGUCGCAAGCGUUGUUCGGAGUCACGGGGCGUAGGGCGCGUGUAGGCGAAAGCCCGGGGCCUAACCCCGGAACUGCACUCGAAACGGCCUCGCGAGAGUCGCGGAGAGGGUGGUGGAAUUCCCUGUGUAGUGGUGAAAUACGUAGAUAUCGGGAGGAACACCAGCGGCGAAGGCGGCCACCUGGACGAUGACUGACGCUGAGACGCGAAAGCGUGGGGAGCAAACAGGAUUAGAUACCCCGGUAGUC
rnacentral:rRNA from 1 species